GGUCAAGCGAAUAAGCGCACACGGUGGAUGCCUAGGCGGUCAGAGGCGAUGAAGGACGUGGUAGCCUGCGAAAAGUGUCGGGGAGCUGGCAACAAGCUUUGAUCCGGCAAUAUCCGAAUGGGGAAACCCACUGCUUCGGCAGUAUCCUGCAGUGAAUUCAUAGCUGCUGGAAGCGAACCCGGUGAACUGAAAUAUCUAAGUAACCGGAGGAAAAGAAAUCAACCGAGAUUCCCUGAGUAGUGACGAGCGAACGGGGAACAGCCCUUAAGCUGGAAUGGCUUUAGAAAAACAAUCUGGAAAGAUUGGCCAUAGAAGGUGAUAGCCCUGUAUUUAAAAGGGCCACUCCAGUGAAGACGAGUAGGGCGGGGCACGUGAAACCCUGUCUGAAUAUGGGGGGACCAUCCUCCAAGGCUAAAUACUCCUGACCGACCGAUAGUGAACCAGUACCGUGAGGGAAAGGCGAAAAGAACCCCGGAGAGGGGAGUGAAAUAGAUCCUGAAACCGUGUGCGUACAAGCAGUAGGAGCUCGCAAGAGUGACUGCGUACCUUUUGUAUAAUGGGUCAGCGACUUACUGUUCGUGGCAAGCUUAACCGUAUAGGGGAGGCGAAGGGAAACCGAGUCUGAUAAGGGCGCAUAGUCGCGGGCAGUAGACCCGAAACCGGGUGAUCUAGUCAUGGCCAGGGUGAAGGUGCCGUAACAGGUACUGGAGGCCCGAACCCACGUCUGUUGCAAAAGACGGGGAUGAGCUGUGAUUAGGAGUGAAAAGCUAAUCGAACCCGGAGAUAGCUGGUUCUCCUCGAAAGCUAUUUAGGUAGCGCCUCGGACGAAUACUACUGGGGGUAGAGCACUGUUAUGGCUAGGGGGUCAUCGCGACUUACCAAACCAUUGCAAACUCCGAAUACCAGUACGUACUAUCCGGGAGACACACGGCGGGUGCUAACGUCCGUCGUGAAAAGGGAAACAACCCAGACCCACAGCUAAGGUCCCAAAUUCACUGCUAAGUGGAAAACGAUGUGGAAAGGCACAGACAGCCAGGAGGUUGGCUUAGAAGCAGCCACCCUUUAAAGAAAGCGUAAUAGCUCACUGGUCGAGUCGGUCUGCGCGGAAGAUUUAACGGGGCUAAGCAGUGAACCGAAGCUUGGGGUGCAUAAAACUUGUUUUAUGCGCGGUAGAGGAGCGUUCCGUAAGCCUGCGAAGGUGGAUUGAGAAGUCUGCUGGAGGUAUCGGAAGUGCGAAUANNNNNNNNNNNNNNNNNNNNNNNNNNNNNNNNNNNNNNNNNNNNNNNNNNNNNNNNNNNNNNNNNNNNNNNNNNNNNNNNNNNNNNNNNNNNNNNNNNGCUGACAUGAGUAACGAUAAUGCGGGUGAAAAGCCCGCACGCCGAAAGCCCAAGGUUUCCUUGCGCAACGUUAAUCGACGCAGGGUUAGUCGGUCCCUAAGGCGAGGGCGAAAGCCGUAGUCGAUGGGAAGCAGGUUAAUAUUCCUGCACCUCGCGUGAGUGCGAUGGAGGGACGGAGAAGGUUAGGUGUACCGGGCGUUGGUUGUCCCGGGGAAAGGCGGUAGGUUUGAAUCUUUGGCAAAUCCGGGAUUCUUUAAGACCGAGCACCGAGACGAGCCUUUAUGGCGAAGUCACUGAUACCACGCUUCCAGGAAAAGCUCCUAAGCUUCAGCUCACGAAGACCGUACCGUAAACCGACACAGGUGGGUAGGAUGAGAAUUCUCAGGCGCUUGAGAGAACUCGGGUGAAGGAACUAGGCAACAUGGCACCGUAACUUCGGGAGAAGGUGCACCCUUUUUGGUGGCUCAUGCGAGCUAUAGCUGAAGAGGGUCGCAGAAACCAGGCCGCUGCGACUGUUUAUCAAAAACACAGCACUCUGCAAACACGAAAGUGGACGUAUAGGGUGUGACGCCUGCCCGGUGCUGGAAGGUUAAUUGAUGGGGUCAGCCGCAAGGCGAAGCUCUUGAUCGAAGCCCCAGUAAACGGCGGCCGUAACUAUAACGGUCCUAAGGUAGCGAAAUUCCUUGUCGGGUAAGUUCCGACCUGCACGAAUGGCGUAACGACAGCGGCGCUGUCUCCACCCGAGACUCAGUGAAAUUGAAAUCGCUGUGAAGAUGCAGCGUUCCCGUGGCAAGACGGAAAGACCCCGUGAACCUUUACUAUAGCUUUACACUGAACGUUGAGUUCGUCUGUGUAGGAUAGGUGGGAGGCUAUGAAACUGUGGCGCUAGCUGCAGUGGAGCCAUCCUUGAAAUACCACCCUGUCGUGCUUGACGUUCUAACCUAGGUCCGUUAUCCGGAUCAGGGACCGUGUAUGGUGGGUAGUUUGACUGGGGCGGUCUCCUCCUAAAGAGUAACGGAGGAGCACGAAGGUACGCUCAGCGCGGUCGGACAUCGCGCACUGUGUGCAAAGGCAUAAGCGUGCUUGACUGCAAGAUCGACGGAUCAAGCAGGUACGAAAGUAGGUCUUAGUGAUCCGGUGGUUCUGUAUGGAAGGGCCAUCGCUCAACGGAUAAAAGGUACUCCGGGGAUAACAGGCUGAUACCGCCCAAGAGUUCAUAUCGACGGCGGUGUUUGGCACCUCGAUGUCGGCUCAUCACAUCCUGGGGCUGUAGUCGGUCCCAAGGGUAUGGCUGUUCGCCAUUUAAAGUGGUACGCGAGCUGGGUUCAGAACGUCGUGAGACAGUUCGGUCCCUAUCUGCCAUGGGCGUUGGAAGUUUGAGAGGGGCUGCUCCUAGUACGAGAGGACCGGAGUGGACGAACCUCUGGUGUUCCGGUUGUCACGCCAGUGGCAUUGCCGGGUAGCUAUGUUCGGAAGCGAUAACCGCUGAAAGCAUCUAAGCGGGAAGCGCGCCUCAAGAUGAGACUUCCCGGGGCACAAGCCCCCUAAAGGAACCAUGUAGACUACGUGGUUGAUAGGUCAGGUGUGUAAGUACAGCAAUGUAUUGAGCUAACUGAUACUAAUGAUCCGUGCGGCUUGACCAU
rnacentral:rRNA from 1 species